CGAGGGGUAACAGGAGAGCUUGCUCUCGCUGACGACCGGCGCACGGGUGAGUAACGCGUAUGCAACCUACCUUUAACAGGGGGAUAGCCCGAAGAAAUUCGGAUUAAUACCCCAUACAACUAUAGAUAAGCAUUUAUUUAUAUUUAAAACUCCGGUGGUUAAAGAUGGGCAUGCGUGACAUUAGAUAGUUGGUAAGGUAACGGCUUACCAAGUCUACGAUGUCUAGGGGGUCUGAGAGGAUGGUCCCCCACACUGGUACUGGGACACGGACCAGACUCCUACGGGAGGCAGCAGUGAGGAAUAUUGCGCAAUGGAUGAAACUCUGACGCAGCCAUGCCGCGUGCAGGAUGACAGCCCUACGGGUUGUAAACUGCUUUUAUACAGGAAGAAUUUUCCGCACGUGUGCGGGAUUGACGGUACUGUACGAAUAAGCACCGGCUAACUCCGUGCCAGCAGCCGCGGUAAUACGGAGGGUGCAAGCGUUAUCCGGAUUUAUUGGGUUUAAAGGGUGCGUAGGCGGAGUAAUAAGUCAGUGGUGAAAUCCUGCAGCUUAACUGUAGAAUUGCCAUUGAUACUGUUAUUCUUGAGUUCGAUUGAGGUAGGCGGAAUGUGUAAUGUAGCGAAAAUGCUUAGAUAUUACACAGAACACCGAUUGCGUAGGCAGCUUACUAAGUCGAUACUGACGCUGAGGCACGAAAGCGUGGGGAGCGAACAGGAUUAGAUACCCUGGUAGUCCACGCCGUAAACUAUGAUCACUAGCUGUUGGCGAUACAUCGAUCAGCGGCAAAGCGAAAGCAUUAAGUGAUCCACCUGGGGAGUACGGUCGCAAGAUUGAAACUCAAAGGAAUUGACGGGGGCCCGCACAAGCGGUGGAACAUGUGGUUUAAUUCGAUGAUACGCGAGGAACCUUACCUGGGCUUAAAUGCAGAUUGACGUUUCGGGAAACCGGAAUUCCCUUCGGGGCGAUUUGCAAGGUGCUGCAUGGUUGUCGUCAGCUCGUGCCGUGAGGUGUCGGGUUAAGUCCCAUAACGAGCGCAACCCCUAUCGUUAGUUGCCAGCGGAUAAUGCCGGGGACCCUAACGAAAACUGCCGGUGUAAACCGAGAGGAAGGUGGGGAUGACGUCAAAUCAGCACGGCCCUUAUGUCCAGGGCUACACACGUGUUACAAUGGUCGGUACAGAGGGCAGCUACCUGGUGACAGGAUGCUAAUCUCGAAAGCCGGUCUUAGUUCGGAUCGAAGUCUGCAACUCGACUUCGUGAAGCUGGAAUCGCUAGUAAUCGCGUAUCGGCAACGACGCGGUGAAUACGUUCCCGGGCCUUGUACACACCGCCCGUCAAGCCAUGG
rnacentral:rRNA from 1 species